ensembl:snRNA U1 U1 spliceosomal RNA
AUACCUACCUGGCAGGGGAGAUACCAUGAUCAGGCAGGUGGUUUUCCCAGGGUGAGGCUCCUCCAUUGCAAUUGGGAGGUGCUGACCCCUGCGAUUUCCCCAAAUGUGGGAAACUCGACUGCAUAAUUUGUGGUAGUGGGGGACUGCGUUCGCGCUCUCCCCUA